rnacentral:rRNA from 1 species
GGCCAGACUCCAGGGAGGCAGCAGUGGGGAAUAUUGCACAAUGGGGGGAACCUUGAUGCAGCGACGCCGCGUGGGUGAAGGAGCACCUCGGUGCGUAAAGCCCUAUCGGCAGGGAAGAAACAGACGGUACCUGACUAAGAAGCCCCGGCUAACUACGUGCCAGCAGCCGCGGUAAUACGUAGGGGGCAAGCGUUAUCCGGAUUCACUGGGCGUAAAGGGAGCGUAGGCGGCCUGCCAAGUCUGAUGUGAAAUGCCGGGGCUCAACCCCGGGGCUGCAUUGGAAACUGGCAGGCUGGAGUGCCGGAGAGGCAGGCGGAAUUCCUAGUGUAGCGGUGAAAUGCGUAGAUAUUAGGAGGAACACCAGUGGCGAAGGCGGCUUACUGGACUGUAACUGACGUUGAGGCUCGAAAGCGUGGGGAGCAAACAGGAUUAGAUACCCCCGUA